ACUGCGAGUGAGAGGGAAGAGCUCAUCAUUGGAAUCUGGCAGCGUUGCGCUGUCCGAGUUGUAGAUGAGAAGAGUAGGACAUCUGGACUGCAUGGUGUCCAAGUACAAUAGGCCGUCAGUGGGACAUCAUAGAGGGUGACAAUCCCGUCCUUGACACCAAUGUACGAGUCCUUUACGAUGCCUAUCUCGGAGAGUCGAGCAGUUUGGGAUUUGCUGCUUAAACACGGGAGGUAGAUUCCUUCCAAAGCUAAAUACAGGCAAGAGACCGAUAGUGAACAAGUACCGCAAGGGAAAGAUGAAAUAGAACUCUGUGAAGGGAGUCAAAAAGACGUGAAAUUGUUGCGAGAGAAGCGAUUCAAGUCAGCGUAGCUGGGCCCAUCAAGCCUCGCGCUUUGGACCAGCUUUGCCAGCGGUCUUGUCCCUAGAGACUUGACUAAGGUUGCCCUGCCCGGUCUAACGGACAGACCUCCCCUCUGGGGAGGCCAGUGGCAUGGCUGGUGGAAUGGCUUGCAAUCGACCCGUCUUGAAACACGGACCAAGGAGUCUAACAUGUACGCGAGUAUAAGGGUGGCAAACCCGUAUGCGCAAAGAAAGUGAUAGCCUAUGGCUGAGAAUGACCUGACGACCUGACAAGAAAUAUCAUGUCCCUCGUACGGUCAUUGCCCAAGUCCCAUGGUCAGAUCCCAUGGACAUGGAGUUGGAGCGUGCAUGCUAGGACCCGAAAGAUGGUGAACUAUGCCUGGACAAAGCGAAGCCAAAGGAAACUCUGGUGGAGGCUUGUAGCGAUUCUGACGUGCAAAUCGAUCGUCUGAUCUGGGUAUAGGGGCGAAAGACUAA
rnacentral:rRNA from 1 species